rnacentral:misc_RNA from 1 species
GAUGAAGAACGUAGCGAAAUGCGAUAAGUAAUGCGAAUUGCAGAAUCCGUGAGUCAUCGAAUCUUUGAACGCACAUUGCGCCCUAUGGUAUUCCGUAGGGCAUGCCUGUUCGAGCGUCAUUCAAACCUUCAAGCUCUGCUUGGUGUUGGGCGUCUGUCCUGCCUCACGGCGCGGACUCGCCUCAAAUCUAUUGGCGGCCGGCACGUUGGCUUCGAGCGCAGCAGAAACGCGAACUCGAGACCGGCGGAUCGGCUCCCAGAAGCUACCCCCAUGAAUUUGACCUCGGAUCAGGUAGGGAUACCCGCUGAACUUAAGCAUAUCAAUAAGCGGAGGA